GUGCUCACUUUAGCAGCACAUAUACUAAAAUUGGAAUGAUUCAGAGAAGAUUAGCAUGGCCCCUGUGCAAGGAUGACACAGAAAUUCAUGAAGCAUUUCAUAUUUUU
rnacentral:snRNA from 1 species